rnacentral:ncRNA from 1 species
GGGUUGCUGAAUUAGAGAUCGGCACCUGUUUUUUUUAUCUAUAAUCUGGAGUAUUACCAUGUCUCUAAGCGUUGAAGCUAAGGCACAGAUCGUAGCCGACUACGGUCGCGGUGC